rnacentral:rRNA from 1 species
ACGGGAGGCAGCAGUGGGGGAUAUUGCACAAUGGGCGAAAGCCUGAUGCAGCGACGCCGCGUGAGGGAAGACGGUUUUCGGAUUGUAAACCUCUGUCUUCGGGGACGAAAAAGGACGGUACCCGAGGAGGAAGCCACGGCUAACUACGUGCCAGCAGCCGCGGUAAUACGUAGGUGGCAAGCGUUGUCCGGAAUUACUGGGUGUAAAGGGCGUGUAGGCGGGACAUCAAGUCAGAUGUGAAAGCACGAGGCUCAACUUCGUGUCUGCAUUUGAAACUGACGUUCUUGAGUGUUGGAGAGGCUAACGGAACUCCUAGUGUAGCGGUGAAAUGCGUAGAUAUUAGGAAGAACACCAGUGGCGAAGGCGGUUAGCUGGACAAUAACUGACGCUGAGGCGCGAAAGCGUGGGUAGCAAACAGGAUUAGAUACCCUGGUA